UGGGGAAUAUUGGACAAUGGGCGCAAGCCUGAUCCAGCAAUGCCGCGUGAGUGAUGAAGGCCUUAGGGUUGUAAAGCUCUUUCGCACGCGACGAUGAUGACGGUAGCGUGAGAAGAAGCCCCGGCUAACUUCGUGCCAGCAGCCGCGGUAAUACGAAGGGGGCUAGCGUUAAUCGGAAUUACUGGGCGUAAAGCGUGCGCAGGCGGCUUUGUAAGACAGAUGUGAAAUCCCCGGGCUCAACCUGGGAACUGCAUUUGUGACUGCAAGGCUAGAGUGCGUCAGAGGGUGGUGGAAUUCCGCGUGUAGCAGUGAAAUGCGUAGAGAUGCGGAGGAACACUGAUGGCGAAGGCAGCCUCCUGGGAUGACACUGACGCUCAUGCACGAAAGCGUGGGGAGCAAACA
rnacentral:rRNA from 1 species